rnacentral:rRNA from 1 species
UAACACGCCGAAAGGUGUACUAAUACCGCAUAAGACCACGGGAUCACAUGGUUCUGAGGUAAAAGAUUUAUCGGUUUGGGGUGGGCUCGCGUCCGAUUAGGUAGUUGGUGAGGUAACGGCCCACCAAGCCGACGAUCGGUAGCCGACCUGAGAGGGUGAUCGGCCACAUUGGGACUGAGACACGGCCCAAACUCCUACGGGAGGCAGCAGUGGGGAAUAUUGGGCAAUGGAGGAAACUCUGACCCAGCAACGCCGCGUGGAGGAAGAAGGUUUUCGGAUCGUAAACUCCUGUCCUUGGAGACGAGUAGAAGACGGUAUCCAAGGAGGAAGCCCCGGCUAACUACGUGCCAGCAGCCGCGGUAAUACGUAGGGGGCAAGCGUUGUCCGGAAUAAUUGGGCGUAAAGGGCGCGUAGGCGGCUCGGUAAGUCUGGAGUGAAAGUCCUGCUUUUAAGGUGGGAAUUGCUUUGGAUACUGUCGGGCUUGAGUGCAGGAGAGGUUAGUGGAAUUCCCAGUGUAGCGGUGAAAUGCGUAGAGAUUGGGAGGAACACCAGUGGCGAAGGCGACUAACUGGACUGUAACUGACGCUGAGGCGCGAAAGUGUGGGGAGCAAACAGGAUUAGAUACCCUGGUAGUCCACACUGU